UACGUAGGGUGCAAGCGUUGUCCGGAAUUAUUGGGCGUAAAGAGCUCGUAGGCGGUCUGUCGCGUCGGCUGUGAAAACCCGGGGCUCAACCCCGGGCCUGCAGUCGAUACGGGCAGACUAGAGUGCGGUAGGGGAGACUGGAAUUCCUGGUGUAGCGGUGAAAUGCGCAGAUAUCAGGAGGAACACCGAUGGCGAAGGCAGGUCUCUGGGCCAUAACUGACGCUGAGAAGCGAAAGCGUGGGGAGCGAACAGG
rnacentral:rRNA from 1 species